rnacentral:rRNA from 1 species
GUGGGGAAUAUUCCGCAAUGGGUGAAAGCCUGACGGAGCGACGCCGCGUGGAUGAUGAAGGUCUUCGGAUUGUAAAGUCCUGUAAAGAGGGAAGAUGGCCUCGUGUAGAACGGGGUUGACAGUACUUCUGGAGUAAGCUACGGCAAACUCUGUGCCAGCAGCCGCGGUAAUACAGAGGUAGCUAGCGUUGUUCGGAAUGACUGGGUGUAAAGCGCAUGUAGGCGGUUUUGUAAGUUGAAUGUGAAAUCCUUUGGCUUAACCAAAGAACUGCAUUCAAAACUGCUUAACUUGAGUGUGGGAGAGGAAAGCGGAAUUUCUGGUGUAGCGGUGAAAUGCGUAGAUAUCAGAAGGAACACCAGUGGCGAAGGCGGCUUUCUGGCCCGCAACUGACGCUGAGAUGCGAAAGCUAGGGGAGCAAACAGGAUUAGAAACCCCGGUAGUCC